CUUGAAAUGUGGCACUAUGCCACACCACUCACUUAGCUUGUCAUUCCUGCCCACAGUUCAUCAUUUCUCUUCCAAGCUCUGCUACUUAAAGGCUUAUUAACACUUAAAUGGGACAGACAUUAUUUUUGUGCUCAAUCUCCUUUCAGGGUUUUCAGUGUAAUUUCCUCUGGAAGAUCCAGAAACUAAAAGGGACAAGAAUUAGCUGCCUUAUCCAUGAGAAAACUCCUGGUUGGUCUCCGGAAUUGAAGUAAGGAGGGUUGACAGAAUCAUAGGUCUUCUACUUUCUGGGAAGAACAAGGCUGGUGGAUUAUGGGAAAGGACAAUGCCAGUUACCUACAGGCAUUCAUCCUGGUGGGCUCUUCUGAUCGGCCUGGACUGGAGAAAAUUCUCUUUGCUGUUAUCUUGAUCUUCUGCAUCCUGACCCUGGUGGGCAACACUGCCAUCAUCCUCUUGCUGGUCAUGGAUGUCAGGCUCCACACACCCAUGUACUUCUUUCUUGGGAAUCUGUCUUUCUUAGAUCUCUGCUUUACAGCAAGCAUUGCCCCUCAGCUGCUGUGGAACCUGGGGGGUCCAGAGAAGACCAUCACCUACCACGGCUGUGUGGCCCAACUCUACAUCUACAUGAUGCUGGGCUCCACCGAGUGCGUCCUCCUGGUUGUCAUGUCCCAUGACCGCUAUGUGGCCGUCUGCCGGUCCCUGCACUACAUGGCAGUCAUGCGCCCACAUCUCUGCCUGCAGCUGGUGACUGUGGCCUGGUGCUGUGGCUUCCUAAACUCCUUCAUCAUGUGUCCUCAGACGAUGCAGCUCUCCCGGUGUGGACGUCGCAGGGUGGACCACUUCCUGUGUGAGAUGCCUGCUCUUAUUGCCAUGUCUUGUGAGGAAACCAUGCUGGUAGAAGCGAUUCACCUUUGCCCUGGGGGUGGCUCUCCUCCUGGUGCCGCUCUCCCUCAUCCUCAUCUCCUAUGGCGUGAUUGCAGCCGCGGUGCUGAGGAUGAAGUCAGCAGCAGGGCGAAAGAAAGCCUUCCACACCUGCUCUUCUCACCUCACAGUGGUCUCUCUCUUCUACGGAACCAUCAUCUACGUGUACCUGAAGCCGGCCAACAGCUACUCCCAAGAUCAGGGGAAGUUCCUGACUCUCUUCUACACCAUCGUCAUUCCCAGCAUCAACCCCCUCAUCUACACUUUGAGGAACAAGGAUGUGAAGGGGACCAUGAAGAAACUUCUGGGGUGGGAGAAAGGGGCUGGGGAGCCUCAACGAGGGGAACACUCUAGUAAUGUAGACAGUUUGCUGGAGUUACUCUCUUAGAUGUGUCUGUGGCCAUGUGGAGAACUAAUAUUCAAGGAGUAGAGUGAACGCGGGUGGGAAAAUGCUUUCGAGUUUGACCCCGUCCUCUGCCCUCUGGAUGUGAAGUGGUUUCCUUCUGUUUGAAGUUGCCUGCUUCAGGAUAUCUCUGCUGUAUCUUGCACUUUCCUUGUCUUUUUGAUUUAUCCACAACUGCUGGGGACUUACAAAACUAAUUCAAUCACCCAAAGGCACUGGGCAGUCUGCAGAUUAUGUCAUGGAUGUCAAAUAAAAAUUGAGACAACAUGA